UAGCCCACAGAAGAUCAGCUGGCUUUCAAAGGCAAAAUUCAAACAAUCAUCUCUGUUUCCUAUCGGAUGCCCUCAUUAGUGCCCAUGGAGCCAAUUACCAUCUCCAAUCAGAUGACUACUUGAACUACAUAUUCAGCCCAAGUCUCUCAUGAGAUAAAAGAGUCCCACCAGAGCCUCCCAAACUGAGCUGGCUCUGGCAAUGCGUGCAUCAACCUCACUAUCAAUAUGUACAUCUCUGGAAAGUAUACUGCCAAGCAUAGGAGCAAAGGAAGAAAGAUGGAACUCACCAGAAAACCCUCUUAAGGUCAGCUAUCAAAUACCACUGUGGUGAAUGUAACUUAAAAAAACUAGUGAAGACUUCAGGUCUCGGUCUUUCUCCUUUUAAAAAGAGGAGAACAAUCUCUUCUUGCUACAGCAUAAAAAUAUUAUAUAGUUCUUAUACUUCGGUGAUCUGUGAUUUUGUUGAUCUCUUCAAUAAUACUCCCUCCAUAACUUGGUGGAUGGUAUUUGGAAGUUGCAGUGGCUAAAAAAUCCAUCCUCUUACGGCCAAUGAGCUCCUCUGAACAAAGCCACCAUGGUCUAUUAAAGAGCAAAUACGUGAAGGAUUUCUAGUUUGAAAGGACCUCGAGAACCCAAGGUCACCUUGAUGCCACGAUGAAGCAGUUGAGCAAGGACUUUUAUGGAGACACAGGAAAACAUAAGAAUCCCCAUGUAAAAGAACUCAGAAUUUUUUUUAAGACUCCAAAUACAUAUGAAUAUAAUGGGAUAUUUUUAAAACAAACUUUUAUUUAUAUGUAGUUUUAUGUCACUUCCCCUUAUC